rnacentral:rRNA from 1 species
AGCAGCCGCGGUAAUUCCAGCUCCAAUAGCGUAUAUUAAAGUUGUUGCAGUUAAAAAGCUCGUAGUUGAAUUUCGGGAUUGACGUGAUGGUCGUGCCUUAAGGGGUAUGAACUGUCGCAGUUGAUUUCUCACCUUCUGGAGAAGCAUGAUGUUCUUAAUUGGGUGUCAUGUGGAACCAGGACCUUUACCUUGAAAAAAUUAGAGUGUUUAAAGCAGGCAUUUUGCUCGAAUACAUUAGCAUGGAAUAAUAGAAUAGGACGCAUGGUUCUAUUUUGUGGUUUCUAGGAUCACGUAUGAUUAAUAGGAUAGUGGGGGCAUUAGUAUUCAAUUGUCAG